ensembl:snRNA U2 U2 spliceosomal RNA
AUGGCUUCUUGGCCUUUUGACUAAAGUCAAGUGUAGUAUCUGUUCUUACCAGUUUAGUAUCUGAUAUGAUGAGAGGACUUUGCAUUAAGUGGCUUUUUGGCACUAGGAGUUGGAACCAGAGCUUGCUCCUUUUGUUUUGGACUUGAUGACCUUAAAGAUCUUUU